UUUGAGAGAAGGGAUGACACAGUAGGAUAAGCUAAGCACACUGUUGGUUAUGUGUGCCCAAGCAUUGAGGCAGUCAAAGUAGGCAAAUCCGCUUUGAUAAUGCUGGGAUGUGAUGGGGAGCGAAAUUUAGUAGCGAAGUAGCUGAUUUCACACUGUCAAGAAAAGUCUCUAUCGAGGUUAAAGGUACCCGUACCGCAAACCGACACAGGUGGGUGAGGAGAGUAUCCUAAGGCCAGCGAGAGAACUGUUGUUAAGGAACUCGGCAAAAUGACCCCGUAACUUAGGGAUAAGGGGUGCCACCAUCAGGUGGCCGCAGAGAAUAGGCCCAAGCGACUGUUUACCAAAAACAUAGGUUUCUGCUAAGUCGCAAGACGAUGUAUAGGAGCUGACGCCUGCCCGGUGCUGGAAGGUUAAGGGGAUCUGUUAGAGCAAUCGAAGCAGUGAACUUAAGCCCCAGUAAACGGCGGCCGUAACUAUAACGGUCCUAAGGUAGCGAAAUUCCUUGUCGGGUAAGUUCCGACCCGCACGAAAGGCGUAACGAUUUGGGCACUGUCUCAACAACAGACUCGGUGAAAUUGUAAUUCCGGUGAAGAUGCCGGAUACCUGCGACAGGACGGAAAGACCCCAUGGAGCUUUACUGUAGCUUGACAUUGGGUCUUGGUACUACAUGUACAGGAUAGGUGGGAGGCUUUGAAACCAGGACGCCAGUUUUGGCGGAGCCAUCCUUGGGAUACCACCCUUGUAGUACUGGGACUCUAACCAUAGGCCAUGAAUCUGGUCUUGGGACACUGUCAGGUGGGCAGUUUGACUGGGGCGGUCGCCUCCCAAAAGGUAACGGAGGCGCUCAAAGGUUCUCUCAGUACGGUCGGAAAUCGUACGUAGAGUGUAAAGGCAAAAGAGAGCUUGAUUGCAAGACAUACAGGUCGAGCAAGGAUGAAAAUCGGACUUAGUGAUCCGGUGGUUCUGCGUGGAAGGGCCAUCGCUCAACGGAUAAAAGCUACCCUGGGGAUAACAGGCUUAUCUCCCCCAAGAGUCCACAUCGACGGGGAGGUUUGGCACCUCGAUGUCGGCUCAUCACAUCCUGGGGCUGUAGUAGGUCCCAAGGGUUGGGCUGUUCGCCCAUUAAAGUGGUACGCGAGCUGGGUUCAGAACGUCGUGAGACAGUUCGGUCCCUAUCCGUCGCAGGCGUAGGAAAUUUGAGAAGACCUGUCCUUAGUACGAGAGGACCGGGAUGGACGUACCUCUGGUGUACCAGUUGUCCUGCCAAGGGCAUGGCUGGGUAGCUAUGUACGGAAUGGAUAAGCGCUGAAAGCAUCUAAGCGCGAAGCCAACUUCAAGAUAAGAUUUCCCACCGCAAGGGUAAGACCCCAGAAAGACUAUCUGGUUGAUAGGUCGAAGGUGUAAGUGCAG
rnacentral:rRNA from 1 species